ACGGGAGGCAGCAGUGGGGAAUAUUGCACAAUGGGGGAAACCCUGAUGCAGCAACGCCGCGUGAGUGAAGAAGUAUUUCGGUAUGUAAAGCUCUAUCAGCAGGGAAGAAAAUGACGGUACCUGACUAAGAAGCCCCGGCUAACUACGUGCCAGCAGCCGCGGUAAUACGUAGGGGGCAAGCGUUAUCCGGAUUUACUGGGUGUAAAGGGUGCGUAGACGGUUUGGCAAGUCAGAAGUGAAAUCCCGGGGCUUAACUCCGGUGCUGCUUUUGAAACUGUCAGACUAGAGUGCUGGAGGGGCAAGCGGAAUUCCUGGUGUAGCGGUGAAAUGCGUAGAUAUAAGGAGGAACACCAGUGGCGAAGGCGGAUUGCUGGACGACAACUGACGGUGAGGCGCGAAAGCGUGGGGAGCAAACAGGAUUAGAUACCCUGGUA
rnacentral:rRNA from 1 species